rnacentral:tRNA from 1 species
GGGGAUAUGGCGAAAUUGGUAGACGCUGCGGACUUAAAAUCCGUUGACUUUAAAAUCGUGAGGGUUCAAGUCCCUCUAUCCCCA